rnacentral:snoRNA from 1 species
AUGCCAUGGUGUGGACAAGCAACGACAUACUAUUGCAUUCGUUCCUAGGCUUUGGGAAUUGAUUCAUCAAAUAGUUGUUAGAAACUAGAGAUUUUAUUGCGAAGAGCAU